rnacentral:rRNA from 1 species
CCUACGGGAGGCAGCAGUGGGGAAUAUUGGGCAAUGGAGGCAACUCUGACCCAGCAACGCCGCGUGAAGGAAGAAGGCCUUAGGGUUGUAAACUUAUGUUGUAAAGGAAGAAAAGAAUGACGGUACUUUACAAGAAAGCCCCGGCUAACUAUGUGCCAGCAGCCGCGGUAAUACGUAGGUGGCAAGCGUUAUCCGGAAUGACUGGGCGUAAAGGGUGCGUAGGUGGUUUAGUAAGUUGGCGGUGUAAUUCCGGGGCUCAACCUCGGCGCUACCGCCAAAACUAUUAGACUAGAGUGCAGGAGGGGUAAGUGGAAUUCCUAGUGUAGCGGUGGAAUGCGUAGAUAUUAGGAGGAACAUCAGGGGCGAAGGCGACUUACUGGACUGUAACUGACACUGAGGCACGAAAGCGUGGGGAGCAAACAGGAUUAGAUACCCGUGUAGUC